AACGAACGCUGGCGGCGCGCCUAAUACAUGCAAGUCGAGCGAGAAGGUGUAGCAAUACACUUGUAAAGCGGCGAACGGGUGAGGAAUGCAUGGGUAACCUACCCUCGAGUGGGGAAUAACUAGCCGAAAGGUUAGCUAAUACCGCAUACGUUUCCGGAACUUCGGUUUCGGAAAGAAAGCAAUACCGUGGGUAUUGCGCUCAUGGAUGGGCUCAUGUCCUAUCAGCUUGUUGGUGAGGUAACGGCUCACCAAGGCUUCGACGGGUAGCUGGUCUGAGAGGACGAUCAGCCACACUGGCACUGCGACACGGGCCAGACUCCUACGGGAGGCAGCAGUAAGGAAUAUUGCGCAAUGGACGAAAGUCUGACGCAGCGACGCCGCGUGGGGGAUGAAGGUCUUCGGAUUGUAAACCCCUUUCGGGAGGGAAGAUGGAGUGGGUAACCACUUGGACGGUACCUCCAGAAGCAGCCACGGCUAACUUCGUGCCAGCAGCCGCGGUAA
rnacentral:rRNA from 1 species